CGAAAAACGAUCCUACAAGAAAUCGUGUGUUAUAUGUUUGCAGGCAAAUAACCCAUUGGAGAAACAAGUCAAAGAAGGGUCGUAUAAAUUUCCGAACAACCUCUGGAAGAAUGUUAGCAGUGAAGCUAAGGAUCUUAUAACAAAACUGCUUACUGUUGGUCACAGAAAAUGCAUCACGGUUUCAGAAGCUCUGGAACAUCCUUGGAUGAAGGAUAAAGAAAUGAUAGAAAAAGCAGAAAAAAUGAUAAAACCGACCGUGGAUGGAAGAUCAAUGUCUCCGCCCUUAUAAAAGGUAUGUUGAAAACUACGAUACUUGUCCCGUUCUUCCGUCCAAUGACCCUUAUUUUCAACUCGCAAUUGCAAUGAAACAUUACAUGUUUGCAAGUUACAUCGAAAUUUAACCAGCUUUCCGAAACAAUCUCAAGGCGC
rnacentral:misc_RNA from 1 species